UACGUAGGGGGCAAGCGUUGUCCGGAAUCAUUGGGCGUAAAGCGCGUGUAGGCGGUUCGGUAAGUCUGCUGUGAAAGCGCCUGGCUUAACCGGGCGAGGUCGGCGGAAACUGCCUCACUUGAGGACGGUAGAGGGGGGUGGAAUUCCCGGUGUAGUGGUGAAAUGCGUAGAGAUCGGGAGGAACACCUGUGGCGAAGGCGGCCCCCUGGGCCGGCCCUGACACUGAGACGCGAAGGCGUGGGGAGCGAACGGG
rnacentral:rRNA from 1 species